CACUAUGCUCAGCCCUAAAAUUUGAUAGGUCAACUACGCCCCCUAUCCGCCCGGGUACUACGAGCACCAGCUUAAAACCCAAAGGACUUGGCGGUGCUUCACAUCCGUCUAGAGGAGCCUGUUCUAGAACCGAUAACCCCCGUUAAACCUCACCCUCCCUUGUUAAUACCGCCUAUAUACCGCCGUCGUCAGCCUACCCUGUGAAGGACUAGAAGUGAGCAAGAUUGGUAAGACCCAAAACGUCAGGUCGAGGUGUAGUGUAUGAGAGGGGAAGAAAUGGGCUACAUUUCCUAAGUCAGGAAAUACGAAUAAUGAACUGAAAUAAGCAUUAGAAGGUGGAUUUAGCAGUAAGCAGUAAAACAGAGUGUUCUGCUGAAAUAUGGCAAUAAAGCACGCACAUAUCGCCCGUCACUCUCCCCAAGCUAACACAAAGCAAAUACCUAAAAAACUACAUCUGCAAAGGGGAGGCAAGUCGUAA
rnacentral:rRNA from 1 species